GACGAACGCUGGCGGCGUGCUUAACACAUGCAAGUCGAACGGAAAGGCCCCUUCGGGGGUCCUCGAGUGGCGAACAGGUGAGUAACACGUGAGUAACCUGCCCUUGACUUCGGGAUAACUUCAGGAAACUGGGGCUAAUACCGGAUAGGAAUCCUUGCUGCAUGGUGGGGGUUGGAAAGCUUCGGCGGUUUUGGAUGGACUCGCGGCUUAUCAGCUUGUUGGUGGGGUAGUGGCUUACCAAGGCUUUGACGGGUAGCCGGCCUGAGAGGGCGACCGGCCACAUUGGGACUGAGAUACGGCCCAGACUCCUACGGGAGGCAGCAGUGGGGAAUAUUGCACAAUGGGCGGAGGCCUGAUACAGCAACGCCGCGUGCGGGAUGACGGCCUUCGGGUUGUAAACCGCUUUCAGCAGGGGCGAAGCUUGUGGUGACGGUACCUGCAGAAGAAGCACCGGCUAACUACGUG
rnacentral:rRNA from 1 species